ensembl:lncRNA
GCUCACUGUGUGUGGUUGGUGGCUGGUUGGAGUAGUUUCACCAGGAGACUCUGAGGCUGGGCGAGGCUGCACACCUGUUGUUAAUUAAUCAAUCAUCCCCACACACUCUCAGGUGGGGAUCUCCUACAUGGUAGCAUGGAUCACCGUAUGUGUAUGUUUAAUGUCCUCAAACUUUGCAAUUAACCGGUUUCACCACUAUCAGCAUCAUCUUCAUAAGCAGCAACGAACAUUGCUAAACUCACGAACUUAGGAACUGAGGCACGCGGUAGUAUUUACUAUUUUGCACAUAGUAUUUGGAGUUUUUCACUUGUGGAGGAAUGGACUUCAACUUCAUGAUUUGUGUGGACAAGGUCAGCGCUGGAGGGUCCUGGGACCACACAGCAGCGCAGGGCUCAGACACAAACAGCAGAGGUCACCCUGAACCAUGGCGCUCUACUUCCCUGCUGUACAAGGAAGAGGAGAUUGGGGUACUCGGGAUUCAGGAUGUGAGUUCCUGCCUGCCGUCACCACCAGGCCUCCAAUCCAAGACGCAUGCUAUCCUUGGGAGGGAGGGGGGGAGAGGGAGAGAGAGAGGGAGAGAGAGGGAGGGAGAGAGAGAGAGAGGGAAGGAGAGAGAGAGAGGGAGGGCGGGCAUAGUCCACGGGCUUGAGUCGAACUCGGGUCACUGCUGUAAGGGAUGAGUUUUAAUGGUACUUCACCGUGUCUCCCCCACAAGCGGUGUUUGUCGCAUGACGAAUGUUUUGUUCACAUGAGUCGUCGAGGUUUGUUUUUAAUAGCCCAACGGACAGUCUGUCUCGGAUCCUGGUUUUGAUGCUUCUGGACAGCACAAAAUAUGCUGUGUCAAUGCUGGGCCUGUUUAUCUCCAUGCAGUAUAGCAAGUUAUAGCCAUUUUAUUGUGUGUGUGUGUGUGUGUGUGUGUGUGUGUGUGUGUGUGUGUGUGUUGUUUGGUCUAGUUCUGGAAAGACAAAGCUAUAUUACGGUGCAUAUUUAUUCAAGACAGUCUGUAUAUUUGUUUGAUUUGCACACACGCACAGACUCAAUAUCUGAAAGUAGCGGCUGUCCUGUUUCGGAUGUUAAAGUCAUUGUAAACAGAGAUGUCCAAUGCUAUAUUUAGAGCAGGUUUUUAUUCAAGGGGUCUGGGGUAGUGGCUGAUGUGGUGCGGAGGGGGAGGGGGAGCGCUGUCUCCAUUCUGUGCCUUCCUGUCCUUAUGCUGCCCUCACUGUGUGUGUGUGUGUGUGUGUGUGUGUGUGUGUGUGUGUGUGUGUGUCUAUUGACACAG